GCUGCUCAACUUCCUGGGUGGGGGCCGAGCUCUGUGUGACUUCCUGGUGGCUUUGAGCAAGUCCCUUUACCUCUCUGAACCUCAGUUUCUCCACCUGUAAAAUGGGGGUCUGGGCUGCCCCCAGUCAGGGACUUUCCUUCUUCUCCUGUAAGCUUUGGGAGGUGUCGGGGAAAAGCGGUGUAGAGGCUAGUGAGGCAGCAGCUGUGGAGGGACCCCUCUUCUCACGGCCUCAGGUUCCCUCUGCUGACGUGGCGGCCCGCGGGGGCCAAGGAAACAGAAAACGUUCCCCAAAAUGGCCUUUUAAGAACAAAGUUGAACAUCUGGUGUUUCCGAGAAAUCAUCAGCAAAGGGCUCCAAGAGGCCUCUGCUGCCCCAGGUUCUGGUCACGUGAAAAGAUGCAGAAACUGAGGCUCAGAAGGCAAUGGAGCCAAGCCUUGGACCAAAUCUCUGUCCCUGUCUGGGCCUCUGUCGCCCCAUCUGGUCAACGACCUCCAAAAAUCCUCUAAGAAUCCAAGGCCAAGAGUCCUCCCAGGGCUCCUGCCCCAGCCUCAGGGAGAUGUCACACAGCGGACACCACCUGGAGCCCUGAUUUAAACCCAAGCCUGAUGGAAUGUCUAAGUCUUGAGCUGUUCCUGGUGACCUGGAUUCUACCAGCUUGAGCCCUGGGCUGGGUGGGAUCGUCUGCUCAGGUCUGCUGGGUGAACUGUACACUUGCAUCCUCUAUGCACCCGUGUUUGGGUCGACAAGCAGGCUCCCGGGCUCCAGUUUAUAAUCCCUUGGUCAUAUGGCAGGUCCCAUGGCA
ensembl:lncRNA